rnacentral:rRNA from 1 species
UGAGGAAUAUUGCGCAAUGGGGGAAACCCUGACGCAGCGACGCCGCGUGGGUGAUGAAGGCCUUCGGGUUGUAAAGCCCUGUUGGAGGGGAAGAAAGGGCGUGUAGCUAAUAUCUGCACGCAUUGACGGUACCCUCAGAGGAAGCACCGGCUAACUCCGUGCCAGCAGCCGCGGUAAUACGGAGGGUGCGAGUGUUAUUCGGAUUUACUGGGCGUAAAGAGCACGUAGGCGGAUAGGCAAGUCAGAUGUGAAAGCCCGGAGCUUAACUCCGGAACUGCAUUUGAUACUGCUUGUCUUGAGUAUGGUAGAGGUGGGUGGAAUUCCCGGUGUAGAGGUGAAAUUCGUAGAUAUCGGGAGGAAUACCUGAGGCGAAGGCGACCCACUGGGCCAUUACUGACGCUGAGGUUCGAAAGCGUGGGUAGCAAACA